rnacentral:rRNA from 1 species
AGUGAACGCUGGCGGUAGGCCUAACACAUGCAAGUCGAACGGCAGCACAGUAAGAGCUUGCUCUUACGGGUGGCGAGUGGCGGACGGGUGAGGAAUACAUCGGAAUCUACUUUUUCGUGGGGGAUAACGUAGGGAAACUUACGCUAAUACCGCAUACGACCUACGGGUGAAAGCAGGGGAUCUUCGGACCUUGCGCGAUUGAAUGAGCCGAUGUCGGAUUAGCUAGUUGGCGGGGUAAAGGCCCACCAAGGCGACGAUCCGUAGCUGGUCUGAGAGGAUGAUCAGCCACACUGAAACUGAGACACGGUCCAGACUCCUACGGGAGGCAGCAGCGGGGAAUAUUGGACAAUGGGCGCAAGCCUGAUCCAGCCAUACCGCGUGGGUGAAGAAGGCCUUCGGGUUGUAAAGCCCUUUUGCUGGGAAAGAAAAGCAGCAGGUUAAUACCCCGCUGUUCUGACGGUACCCAAAGAAUAGCACCGGCUAACUUCGUG